GCCCAGCGCGGGCUCUGUGAACCUGAGGCUCUGUGGCCAGCCGUUGGGGAGGUUUUCAUCCCUUGGUUUUGAUCCUCUGCGCUUGCCCAUUCUGCCCCUGCCUCCGUCCCAGCCCAGUGCUGGCCCUGCUCUUAUCAAAGGAAGGUGAUGGCCUGAGGCCCCACGGGCUGCAGUGCCCAGAUGAACUCCAGUGACCCUGGCUGCCCCAUGGCCUCGCUCUAUGUGGGGGACCUGCACCCUGACGUGACCGAGGCGAUGCUCUAUGAGAAGUUCAGCUCUGCCGGGCCCAUCCUUUCCAUCCGGGUAUACAGGGACGUGAUCACACGCCGCUCCCUGGGCUAUGCUUCCGUGAACUUUGAGCAGCCUGCUGAUGCAGAGCGUGCUUUGGACACCAUGAAUUUUGAUGUCAUCAAGGGCAAGCCGGUCCGCAUCAUGUGGUCUCAGCGUGAUCCAUCACUUCGCAGGAGUGGAGUAGGCAACGUGUUCAUUAAAAAUUUGAAUAAGACCAUUGAUAAUAAAGCGCUGUAUGAUACAUUCUCUGCUUUCGGCAAUAUCCUUUCCUGCAAGGUGGUUUGCGAUGAAAAUGGCUCCAAGGGCCAUGGAUUUGUACAUUUUGAGACAGAGGAGGCAGCGGAAAGAGCCAUUGAGAAAAUGAACGGGAUGCUUCUGAAUGACCGCAAAGUGUUUGUUGGACGGUUUAAGUCUCGGAAAGAACGAGAAGCCGAGCUUGGAGCGAAGACCAAGGAGUUUACCAACGUUUACAUCAAGAACUUUGGGGACCGCAUGGAUGACGAGACCCUGAAUGGCCUCUUUGGCAGGUUUGGACAGGUCCUAAGUGUGAAAGUCAUGACCGAUGAAGGUGGGAAAUCAAAAGGAUUCGGGUUCGUCAGCUUUGAAAGGCACGAAGAUGCGCAGAAAGCGGUGGAUGAGAUGAAUGGAAAAGAACUCAAUGGAAAACACAUUUAUGUUGGUCGAGCUCAGAAAAAAGUGGACCGUCACAUAGAACUUAAGCGUAAAUUUGAACAGGUGACGCAAGAUAGGAGCAUCAAAUACCAUGGCAUUAACCUUUAUGUGAAAAAUCUUGAUGAUGGUAUCGAUGAUGAACGUCUCCAGAAAGAAUUUUCUCCAUUUGGAACAAUCACCAGUACAAAGGUUAUGACAGAGGGUGGUCGCAGUAAAGGAUUCGGUUUUGUGUGUUUCUCCUCCCCAGAAGAAGCCACAAAAGCUGUUUCAGAAAUGAAUGGGAGAAUUGUGGCAACGAAACCACUUUAUGUAGCUUUAGCCCAGCGCAAAGAAGAGCGUCAGGCUCACCUCACUAACCAAUAUAUUCAAAGAAUGACAAGUGUAAGAUCUGGGCCCAACCCUGUUAUCAACCCCUACCAACCCGCACCUUCCAGUUACUCUGCGGCCGCUGUCCCACAGACUCAGAACUGCGUUCCAUGCUGCCCUAGCCAAAUUGCUCAACCAAGGCCAAGUGCUCGCUGGACUGCACAGGGUUCCCGGCCUCAUCCGUUCCCCAAUGUGCCUGGUGCUAUCCACCCAGUUGCUCCUAGAUCGUCGUUGACGACAGUAAGACCAAGUUCUUCACAUGUUCAAGUCAUGACAGCACAUCGCAUUACUAACACAUCAGCACAGAUAACAGGCCAGCGUCCUGCCCCAGCCUCUUCAGGUCCUGUUCGCUCGAUUCCACCGUAUAAUUAUGCCGCAGGAGUCCCGAACUCCCAGCAAUGUCUUAAUGCCCAGCUGGCGCAACAGCCCGCUGUUCGUGUACAGGGUCAGGAACCUUGGACUGCUUCCAUGUUAGUAACGGCUCCUCAGGAGCCAAAGGAAAUGCUGGGGGAAAGGCUAUUCCCUCUCAUCCAAGCCAUGCACCCGACUCUGGCUGGUAAGAUCACAGGCGUGUUGCUGGAGAUUGAUAACUCGGAACCACUUCGUAUGCUUGAAUCUCCAGAGUCUCAGGGUUCUAGGGCUGAGGAGGCUGAGGCCAUUACUCCAAGCCCACCAAGCUAAAGAGACUGCCCAGAAAGCUGCUGGCAGUACCUCUGGUGUCCCAACUGUUUAAACUGAUCAGAGACCUCAAAAAAGAAACUCAAACUUUGCA